ACCAACAGGGAUUGCCCUAGUAACGGCGAGUGAAGCGGCAACAGCUCAAAUUUUAAAUCUGGCUCCCUCGGGGGUCCGAGUUGUAAUUUGCAGAGGGUGCUUUGGCGUCGGUAGCGGUCUAAGUUCCUUGGAACAGGACAUCACAGAGGGUGAGAAUCCCGUACGUGGUCGCUAACCUUCGCCGUGUAAAGCCCCUUCGACGAGUCGAGUUGUUUGGGAAUGCAGCUCUAAAUGGGAGGUAAAUUUCUUCUAAAGCUAAAUACCGGCCAGAGACCGAUAGCGCACAAGUAGAGUGAUCGAAAGAUGAAAAGCACUUUGGAAAGAGAGUCAAAUAGCACGUGAAAUUGUUGAAAGGGAAGCGCUUGCAGUCAGACUUGCCCGUAGUUGCUCACCCAGGCUCCUGCCUGGGGCACUCUUCUGCGGGCAGGCCAGCAUCAGUUUGGGCGGCCGGACAAAGACCUCUGUCAUGUAUCUUCCUUCGGGAUGACCUUAUAGGGGAGGUGUAAUGCGGCCAGCCCGGACUGAGGUCCGCGCUUCUGCUAGGAUGCUGGCGUAAUGGCUGUAAGCGGCCCGUCUUGAAACACGGACCAAGGAGUCUAACAUCUAUGCGAGUGUUUGGGUGUCAAGCCCGGGCGCGCAAUGAAAGUGAACGGAGGUGGGAACCUUUGGGUGCACCAUCGACCGAUCCUGAUGUCUUCGGAUGGAUUUGAGUAAGAGCAUAGCUGUUGGGACCCGAAAGAUGGUGAACUAUGCUUGAAUAGGGUGAAGCCAGAGGAAACUCUGGUGGAGGCUCGCAGCGGUUCUGACGUGCAAAUCGAUCGUCAAAUUUGGGCAUAGGGGCGAAAGACU
rnacentral:rRNA from 1 species